rnacentral:rRNA from 1 species
UACGAAGGGGGCUAGCGUUGCUCGGAAUCACUGGGCGUAAAGCGCACGUAGGCGGCUUCUUAAGUCAGGGGUGAAAUCCUGGAGCUCAACUCCAGAACUGCCUUUGAUACUGAGGAGCUCGAGUCCGGAAGAGGUGAGUGGAACUGCGAGUGUAGAGGUGAAAUUCGUAGAUAUUCGCAAGAACACCAGUGGCGAAGGCGGCUCACUGGUCCGGUACUGGACGCUGAGGUGCGAAAGCGUGGGGAGCAAACAGGG